GGAUGGAUCAUUAACGCCAAAAAAAAUACGUUUGGAUUGAUUGGUUUAACAGCCAAUUGAUUCAAAUGAAACCCAUGGGUCUCUCUCUCUUGAGAAAUCAAGAACAGACCCUGGACACCUUUCAACAACAAUAAAAGUUGAAGUUUAGUGUAACUUUCAAGUUGCACUAUUUAUCACCAGAUUCCAUUUUGUAAACUUUCAGUUGAAACAAAGUCAGAGAGCGCUCGCGCUUUUUUGAUCUUGAUAUAAAAACAAUCUAUAUCACAACUGUUAACGAUGGACAUCUCGGCUCUCAUAUCGAGGAAGAGCGCAGCGAAAUGCGAUAUGACGUGUGAAUUGCAGGGUUCAGCGAAUCAUGAAGUCCUCGAACGCACAUUGCGCCCUAGGGUCCUCCUUUGGGGCAUGCUUGUUUGAGCGUCGUCAACAAUAUCAAUCACGAUCACUGACUUUGUGAAUAACAAAGUUCAGGCGAGUCACUGAAUUGAUGAGAGUACGGAGCGUAACUGUUUCGUUCUUUUGAAACACAGUCUUAGGGUGGAGCCCAAUUAAUGUUCCUUCACGAAACUUCAAUGGCGAAUAUUUAUUCACACACAGAGUUUUAUUGAUGGAAUUGUCGGGAACUACCAGAUUCGAUCGAAUGGUCAUCAUGCCGAUCAAUCAAAAUUUCCCCCUUGAAAAAGUUCAAUCGCGAGCUUUUUCGCUGGUGAAAAUUUUACCUAAGCGACCUCAAAUCAAGUAAGAUUACCCGCUGAAUUUAAGCAUAUUAAUAAGCGGAGGAAAAGAAAGCAACAGCGAUUUCCUUAGUAGUGGCGAACGAAGAGGAACAAGCUCAGUUUUAAAAUCGGGUGCAGUCUCUGUUCUCCGAAUUGUAGCCUUCAGGUGUACAGUCGCGGUCGCCGAUCUGGAUGUAAGUCCCCUGGAAUGGGGUGUCAAAGAGGGUGAGAACCCCGUUGAUCAUCUUGUUAUCGAGUGGCGCCAGCCGUCUGUGUUCCUUCGAGUCGAGUUGUUUGGGAUUGCAGCUCUAAACCUUUUUUAUGGGGAGGUAGAUCACUCCUAAAGCUAAAUACCGAUGAGAGACCGAUAGCGAACAAGUACCGCGAGGGAAAGAUGAAAAGAACUUUGAAAAGAGGGUUAAAAGCGUUCGAAAUCGUUAACAGGGAAGCGAACAGAGUCGGGAUUCGUGUGUAUUCAUCAUCAGCUACCAGUGAUUUAUGAGGGUGUUUUGCUGAGUUGCAAGACCAGCUAGCAUUUGAGUGGGUUACUGGACGGUGUACAAUGGGUAUAUACGUGCCGGCAUCGAUCUCUAGCUAUUCGAAGGGAGAGUAACGGAGACGGAUGGGGGCGCUUCAAACGCUUAUCAUUGACGGACGUUGCUAUUUCCGCGGUAGCGAGGAUCGGGGUUAAUAGUCUGCGCCUCGGCGGGCCGAAAGUGGCUCCUGCAGACUGUGAAUGCUCGGCGUUUAAUUCUUACGACGAUUCUGUCCGACCCGUCUUGAAACACGGACCAAGGAGUCCAACGUAUGCGCAAGUGUCUGGGUAGGUCAAACCCAAACGCGAAGCGAAGGCAAACUUGAUAUCAAGAGUUGUCAAAACAACUCCUCAGUAUCGGCCAGCCCCGAAGGGUUGGGUCUGAGCGUGAGCGCAUCCGCUGGGACCCGAAAGAUGGUGAACUAUGCGUGUGCAGGGUGAAGCCAGGGGAAACUCUGGUGGAGGCUCGUAGCGGUGCUAACGUGCAAAUUGCUCGUCUGACAUGCGUAUAGGGGCGAAAGACUAAUCGAACCAUCUAGUAGCUGGUUCCCUC
rnacentral:misc_RNA from 1 species